GAUGAACGCUGGCGGCGUGCCUAAUACAUGCAAGUCGAGCGAACGGACGAGAAGCUUGCUUCUCUGAUGUUAGCGGCGGACGGGUGAGUAACACGUGGAUAACCUACCUAUAAGACUGGGAUAACUUCGGGAAACCGGAGCUAAUACCGGAUAAUAUUUUGAACCGCAUGGUUCAAAAGUGAAAGACGGUCUUGCUGUCACUUAUAGAUGGAUCCGCGCUGCAUUAGCUAGUUGGUAAGGUAACGGCUUACCAAGGCAACGAUGCAUAGCCGACCUGAGAGGGUGAUCGGCCACACUGGAACUGAGACACGGUCCAGACUCCUACGGGAGGCAGCAGUAGGGAAUCUUCCGCAAUGGGCGAAAGCCUGACGGAGCAACGCCGCGUGAGUGAUGAAGGUCUUCGGAUCGUAAAACUCUGUUAUUAGGGAAGAACAUAUGUGUAAGUAACUGUGCACAUCUUGACGGUACCUAAUCAGAAAGCCACGGCUAACUACGUGCCAGCAGCCGCGGUAAUACGUAGGUGGCAAGCGUUAUCCGGAAUUAUUGGGCGUAAAGCGCGCGUAGGCGGUUUUUUUAAGUCUGAUGUGAAAGCCCACGGCUCAACCGUGGAGGGUCAUUGGAAACUGGAAAACUUGAGUGCAGAAGAGGAAAGUGGAAUUCCAUGUGUAGCGGUGAAAUGCGCAGAGAUAUGGAGGAACACCAGUGGCGAAGGCGACUUUCUGGUCUGUAACUGACGCUGAUGUGCGAAAGCGUGGGGAUCAAACAGGAUUAGAUACCCUGGUAGUCCACGCCGUAAACGAUGAGUGCUAAGUGUUAGGGGGUUUCCGCCCCUUAGUGCUGCAGCUAACGCAUUAAGCACUCCGCCUGGGGAGUACGACCGCAAGGUUGAAACUCAAAGGAAUUGACGGGGACCCGCACAAGCGGUGGAGCAUGUGGUUUAAUUCGAAGCAACGCGAAGAACCUUACCAAAUCUUGACAUCCUUUGACAACUCUAGAGAUAGAGCCUUCCCCUUCGGGGGACAAAGUGACAGGUGGUGCAUGGUUGUCGUCAGCUCGUGUCGUGAGAUGUUGGGUUAAGUCCCGCAACGAGCGCAACCCUUAAGCUUAGUUGCCAUCAUUAAGUUGGGCACUCUAAGUUGACUGCCGGUGACAAACCGGAGGAAGGUGGGGAUGACGUCAAAUCAUCAUGCCCCUUAUGAUUUGGGCUACACACGUGCUACAAUGGACAAUACAAAGGGCAGCGAAACCGUGAGGUCAAGCAAAUCCCAUAAAGUUGUUCUCAGUUCGGAUUGUAGUCUGCAACUCGACUACAUGGAGCUGGAAUCGCUAGUAAUCGUAGAUCAGCAUGCUACGGUGAAUACGUUCCCGGGUCU
rnacentral:rRNA from 1 species